rnacentral:rRNA from 1 species
AUGCUACUGAUAAAAACUGAGGGGUUUUGCAUAUUAUAUUACAGAAAACUGGUGGAUGGGAGAUUACAGUAUAUUAUACUACAGAAAACUGGUGGAUGGGAGAUCACAGUCAAGCUACUCACAUAUGACUCCUAUCAGUGCAUCCGAGAAUUCUCAAAUGAAGUUUGCUUCUGUUUUGGCCUGACUUACAUUUCUACUGUAAGUGUAGCUCUAUGGCAGUACAUACUUUUUUCACUUUUGAAGAGAAAAACUCAGUAUGUUUACUUGUUUCUUCUCUUAGUAUGGCUUGGUAAAUCGAGGACCUGUUGUGGUCUUGUGGAACAAGAACCUAAUAUUGUUGUUUUUAUGUUGGAACAAAUGUUUUCUCGCUGA